rnacentral:rRNA from 1 species
GACGUAGGGCGCGAGCGUUGUCCGGAAUUAUUGGGCGUAAAGAGCUCGUAGGCGGUCUGUCGCGUCUGCUGUGAAAACUCGGGGCUUAACCCCGGGCCUGCAGUGGGUACGGGCAGACUAGAGUGCGGUAGGGGGAGACUGGAAUUCCUGGUGUAGCGGUGAAAUGCGCAGAUAUCAGGAGAACACCGGUGGCGAAGGCGGUCUCUGGACGUAACUGACGCUGAGGACGACGACGUGGGGAGCGAACAGG